UGGGGAAUAUUGCACAAUGGGCGAAAGCCUGAUGCAGCGACGCCGCGUGCGGGAUGAAGGCCUUCGGGUUGUAAACCGCUUUUAAUUGGGAGCAAGCGAGAGUGAGUGUACCUUUUGAAUAAGCACCGGCUAACUACGUGCCAGCAGCCGCGGUAAUACGUAGGGUGCAAGCGUUAUCCGGAAUUAUUGGGCGUAAAGAGCUCGUAGGCGGUUUGUCACGCCUGGUGUGAAAGUCCAUCGCUUAACGGUGGAUCUGCGCCGGGUACGGGCAGGCUAGAGUGCAGUAGGGGAGAUUGGAAUUCCCGGUGUAACGGUGGAAUGUGUAGAUAUCGGGAAGAACACCAAUGGCGAAGGCAGAUCUCUGGGCUGUUACUGACGCUGAGGAGCGAAAGCAUGGGGAGCGAACAGGAUUAGAUACCCGUGGUAGUCCAUGCCGUAAACGGUGGAUGCCUGGAU
rnacentral:rRNA from 1 species